rnacentral:lncRNA from 1 species
CUCUCUUAUCUCUUCUCCAAACCCAACACGCAUUUGGAACACACAUUUACUUAAAAAUAGCCACUUUGCUGUAGUUGAUGGAUGUGUGGGAGUGUUAAUGUAUUCCUCAUAUGCAUUGGGAAAAAAUAAAGAGUUGAGAAAAAUUCCCAUGUUCAGAAAAUACUCAGUAAGCACAAAGUAUAGUCCUCGAAUUAUAUGCUACAAUUGGCACAAAGGAAAAACACAUUCAUAGGAAAACACAAUUUUAAUUGAGAGACAUAAUUAUCUAAUCAGCAAACGUUAUAUUUCAAUUUUACAAUUCUCUUCAAGCCAGCACUGGAUCUGGCAUAUAGCAAUCACCCAGAAAAAAAAAAAAUACAUUAGCUCCUUCCCUGGAUUCAACCCCUGCAUUUGAAUUCCAAGCAUUCAUGAAGAUCAAGUUGAGGAGUCUUCCCUAAAUUCACUAAAGUAGUGGAGGAUUAUGGAGGGCUAGAUCUGUAAGCUCCUAACUGAGCAUGAGGAGUCCUAUUUACAAUUAGUCUUCUAAGUUUCUGUGAGUGCAACAGGAAGGAUAUUUGGGGAAAUAUAUAACUGGAUAUUCUAUUUUCACACUGACUAUUGCAAGAAGAAAGGGCAAAAGACAUACGUCCCCAGUUCCACAGAGUCUGCAUGUAUAUAGGUCAGAACAUGCACAUACUGGCAAGGAAUGCAAUACAGGGUGACAGUUGCUUGGAUGGCCAAUUCUGCCAGACUGGAUGUUUACAAAAGGGGUCUCCUUCAGUUACUAAGAUUUGCUCUAACUCAAAGACUGGUCUGUUCAAAAUUAGCCUGCCUCUGCUCUUCCGGGAUUAGUUAGUUGUACGUUCGAAACCUGUCGCCGUCACUUGCGCAUUUGGCAUUAUCCAUUGUCACGGCGGAGGAACCGGCACUCGAGAUAACAUUAGUGCCCGCAAAUCUCCGCGCCAAGGCGCUGCGCUACUCCCUUCCGAGGUGCGCCUCUGCUCCUCCGUCCCGGGUGCCCAGCAGCGGCGACGCGGCACCUCCGCUGCCGCCGCCGUGUCCACCGAGCCUCGGGACCAGGGUGGCAGUUCUCAACGAUGGGCAGGAGGGACCUCGGCGGCGACCCCUAAAACAAUACCAUGCCCCGGGAGCCCAGCUGCUGCCGCGCCAGCGUCUUCCCUUUCCACCUCCCUGACCCUGUCGGAUUUGGAUGAGUCCACUGCGAGAAGAAGACGCAGCCGUCAGAUCUGGAGACUGACACAGAAACUGCCCUCACGGAUUUAGGUGCGGUCCAUUAAAUUACCACCAGGACUCAUCUUCACAAGAAUCUUAAAUAGAAUCAGACAUUUCUGUAAAUAUUCAA